rnacentral:rRNA from 1 species
UACGUAGGGUGCGAGCGUUAAUCGGAAUUACUGGGCGUAAAGCGUGCGCAGGCGGUUUUGUAAGCCAGAUGUGAAAUCCCGGGGCUUAACCUGGGAAUGGCAUUUGGGACUGCAAGGCUCGAGUGCGGCAGAGGAGACUGGAAUUCCUGGUGUAGCAGUGAAAUGCGUAGAUAUCAGGAGGAACACCGAUGGCGAAGGCAGGUCUCUGGGCUGACACUGACGCUCAUGCACGAAAGCGUGGGGAGCAAACAGG